rnacentral:lncRNA from 1 species
CAGUGAUCCUCCUGCUUCAGCCUGCCAAGCGCUGGGAUUACAGUUCUCUUGAGUACAGACCCAGGGGUGAAACUGCUGCAUCCUGUAACAACUGCCAGGCUCGGUUCCACAGUGGCUGCAGCACCUCGCAUUCCUUCCAGCAGUGUGUGCAAAGUGUCAGCAGCUUCCCCAGCAUUACCGAAGAAUUCUGUAAGAGAACUUCCAUCCCGUACCAAAAAAAAAACACAAACUCCCGCUGGGCAUGGUGACACACGCUUGUAAUCCCAGGACUUGGGAGGCUGAGUUAGGAG